CCUACGGGAGGCAGCAGUAAGGAAUAUUGGUCAAUGGACGCAAGUCUGAACCAGCCAUGCCGCGUGAAGGAUUAAGGUCCUCUGGAUUGUAAACUUCUUUUAUCUGGGACGAAAAAAGGCGAUUCUUCGUCACUUGACGGUACCAGAUGAAUAAGCACCGGCUAACUCCGUGCCAGCAGCCGCGGCAAUACGGAGGGUGCAAGCGUUAUCCGGAUUCACUGGGUUUAAAGGGUGCGUAGGCGGGCAGGUAAGUCAGUGGUGAAAUCCUAGAGCUUAACUCUAGAACUGCCAUUGAUACUAUCUGCCUUGAAUAUUGUGGAGGUAAGCGGAAUAUGUCAUGUAGCGGUGAAAUGCUUAGAUAUGACAUAGAACACCUAUUGCGAAGGCAGCUUACUACGCAUAUAUUGACGCUGAGGCACGAAAGCGUGGGGAUCAAACAGGAUUAGAUACCCUGGUAGUCCACGCCCUAAACGAUGAUUACUCGACAUUUGUGAUACACUAUAAGUGUGUGAGAGAAGAGAUAAGUAAUACUUACCGUUAGGUAAGUUAACGACCGACGAGGUUAGAACGUACAANAGAGUUAGACGGCGNGAGACGNGCGACGGACGACGACGAGGGAGGUUAGGAG
rnacentral:rRNA from 1 species